GGACUACCCGGGUUUCUAAUCCCGUUCGCUCCCCUGGCUUUCGCACCUGAGCGUCAGGUACUUCCCAGGACACUGCCUUCGCCUUUGGUGUUCCUCCGGAUCUCUACGCAUUUCACCACUCCACCCGGAAUUCCGUGUCCCUCUGAAGCCCUCAAGUCCGCUCGUUUCCCAGGCACUUGCUCAGUUAAGCCGAGCACUGUCACCCAGAACGCAGCGGACCGCCUGCGUGCGCUUUACGCCCAGUAACUCCGGACAACGCUUGCCUCCUACGUAUUACCGCGGCGGCUGGCAC
rnacentral:rRNA from 1 species